UACGGAGGGUGCAAGCGUUACUCGGAAUCACUGGGCGUAAAGGGCGCGUAGGCGGCCUAGCAAGUCUGGUGUGAAAGCCCAGGGCUCAACCCUGGAAGGGCACUGGAAACUGUUAGGCUUGAGUUCCGGAGAGGAGGGGGGAAUUCCCGGUGUAGCGGUGAAAUGCGUAGAUAUCGGGUGGAAUACCGGUGGCGAAGGCGCCCCUCUGGACGGAAACUGACGCUGAGGCGCGCAACCGUGGGGAGCAAACAGG
rnacentral:rRNA from 1 species